rnacentral:rRNA from 1 species
GAUGAACGCUGGCGGCGUGCCUAAUACAUGCAAGUCGAGCGAACAGACGAGGAGCUUGCUCCUCUGACGUUAGCGGCGGAUGGGUGAGUAACACGUGGAUAAGCUACCUAUAAGACUGGGAUAACUUCGGGAAACCGGAGCUAAUACCGGAUAAUAUAUUGAACCGCAUGGUUCAAUAGUGAAAGACGGUUUUGCUGUCACUUAUAGAUGGAUCCGCGCCGCAUUAGCUAGUUGGUAAGGUAACGGCUUACCAAGGCAACGAUGCGUAGCCGACCUGAGAGGGUGAUCCGCCACACUGGAACUGAGACACGGUCCAGACUCCUACGGGAGGCAGCAGUAGGGAAUCUUCCGCAAUGGGCGAAAGCCUGACGGAGCAACGCCGCGUGAGUGAUGAAGGUCUUCGGAUCGUAAAACUCUGUUAUUAGGGAAGAACAAAUGUGUAAGUAACUAUGCACGUCUUGACGGUACCUAAUCAGAAAGCCACGGCUAACUACGUG